rnacentral:rRNA from 1 species
GAACCUGCCUCAAAGAGGGGGACAACAGUUGGAAACGACUGCUAAUACCGCAUAAGCCCACGGGUCGGCAUCGACCAGAGGGAAAAGGAGCAAUCCGCUUUGAGAUGGCCUCGCGUCCGAUUAGCUAGUUGGUGAGGUAAUGGCCCACCAAGGCGACGAUCGGUAGCCGGACUGAGAGGUUGAACGGCCACAUUGGGACUGAGACACGGCCCAGACUCCUACGGGAGGCAGCAGUGGGGAAUAUUGCACAAUGGGGGAAACCCUGAUGCAGCGACGCCGCGUGGAGGAAGAAGGUCUUCGGAUUGUAAACUCCUGUUGUUGAGGAAGAUAAUGACGGUACUCAACAAGGAAGUGACGGCUAACUACGUGCCAGCAGCCGCGGUAAAACGUAGGUCACAAGCGUUGUCCGGAAUUACUGGGUGUAAAGGGAGCGCAGGCGGGAAGACAAGUUGGAAGUGAAAUCUAUGGGCUCAACCCAUAAACUGCUUUCAAAACUGUUUUUCUUGAGUAGUGCAGAGGUAGGCGGAAUUCCCGGUGUAGCGGUGGAAUGCGUAGAUAUCGGGAGGAACACCAGUGGCGAAGGCGGCCUACUGGGCACCAACUGACGCUGAGGCUCGAAAGUGUGGGUAGCGAACAGGAUUAGAUACCCUGGUAGUCCACACCGUAAACGAUGAUUACUAGGUG